AUACGGAGGAUGCAAGCGUUAUCCGGAAUGAUUGGGCGUAAAGCGUGCGUAGGCGGUUCGUUAAGUCAGAUGUGAAAGCCCUGGGCUCAACCUGGGAACUGCAUUUGAAACUGGCGGACUAGAGUUUAGUAGAGGGGAGUGGAAUUUCAGGUGUAGCGGUGAAAUGCGUAGAUAUCUGAAGGAACACCAGUGGCGAAGGCGACUCCCUGGACUAGAACUGACGCUGAGGUACGAAAGCGUGGGUAGCAAACAGGAUUAGAUACCCUGGUAGUCCACGCCGUAAACGAUGUCAACUAGCCGUUGGUCCUAUUUACAGGAUUAGUGGCGCAGCUAACGCAUUAAGUUGACCGCCUGGGGAGUACGGCCGCAAGGUUAAA
rnacentral:rRNA from 1 species